GAGCGCGGCGCACGGCUCAGUAGUACGCAGCUAACCUACCCUAAGGAGGGGGAUAAUCCCGGGAAACUGGGGCUAAUAUCCCAUAAACCUCGGAGGCUGGAAGGCGCCAAGGUUAAAAAGAUCAUUUCAGCAUGCUGAAAUGGUCGCCUUAGGAUGGGGUUGCGCCCGAUCAGGUAGUUGGCGGGGUAAAGGCCCACCAAGCCUAUGACCGGUGCGGGCUCUGAGAGGAGGAGCCCGGAGAUGGAUCCUGAGACAAGGAUCCAGGCCCUACGGGGCGCAGCAGGCGCGAAACCUUCACAAUGCCCGAAAGGGUGAUGAGGCUACCCCGAGUGCUAUCCGCAGAGGGUAGCUUUUGUCAGGUCUAAAAAGCCUGGCGAAUAAGGGGAGGGCAAGACUGGUGUCAGCCGCCGCGGUAAUACCAGCUCCCCGACUGGUCGGGAUGAUUAUUGGGCCUAAAGCAUCCGUAGCCGGCUUCACAGGUCUCUUGUUAAAUCCAACGGCUCAACCGUUGGACUGCAGGGGAUACCAUGGAGCUAGGGGGCGGGAGAGGCGGACGGUACUCCAUGGGUAGGGGUAAAAUCCUUUGAUCCAUGGAAGACCACCAGUGGCGAAGGCGGUCCGCUAGAACGCGCCCGACGGUGAGGGAUGAAAGCUGGGGGAGCGAACCGGAUUAGAUACCCGGGUAGUCCCAGCCGUAAACGAUGCAGGCUAGGUGAUAGAGAGGCUAUACGCCUUUCUAGUGCCGCAGGGAAGCCGAUAAGCCUGCCGCCUGGGGAGUACGGCCGCAAGACUGAAACUUAAAGGAAUUGGCGGGGGAGCACCACAAGGGGUGAAGCCUGCGGCUCAAUUGGAGUCAGCGCCGGGAACUUUACCGGGGGCGACAGCAGGAUGAGGGCCAAGCUGAUGACUUUGCCCGACGCGCUGAGAGGUGGCGCAUGGCCGUCGCCAGCUCGUGCCGUGAGGUGUCUGGUUAAGUCCAGGAACGAGCGAGACCCUCACCCCUAGUUGCCACCGCGCAAGCGGGCACACUAGGGGGACCGCCACCGCUAAGGUGGAGGAGGGAGGGGGCAACGGCAGGUCAGCAUGCCCCGAAUCCCCCGGGCCGCACGCGGGCUGCAAUGGUGGAGACAAUGGGUUCCGAACCCGAAAGGGGGAGGUAAUCCUUGAAACUCCACCGUAGUUGGGAUCGAGGGCUGCAACCCGCCCUCGUGAACCUGGAAUCCCCAGUAAUCGCGUGUCAUCAUCGCGCGGUGAACACGUCCCCGCUCCUU
rnacentral:rRNA from 1 species